rnacentral:rRNA from 1 species
AUUGAACGCUGGCGGCAUGCCUUACACAUGCAAGUCGAACGGCAGCACGGGUGCUUGCACCUGGUGGCGAGUGGCGAACGGGUGAGUAAUACAUCGGAACGUACCUUAUCGUGGGGGAUAACGCAGCGAAAGCUGUGCUAAUACCGCAUACGCCCUGAGGGGGAAAGCGGGGGAUCGCAAGACCUCGCGCGAUUAGAGCGGCCGAUGCCUGAUUAGCUUGUUGGUGGGGUAAAAGCCCACCAAGGCGACGAUCAGUAGCUGGUCUGAGAGGACGAUCGGCCACACUGGGACUGAGACACGGCCCAGACUCCUACGGGAGGCAGCAGUGGGGAAUUUUGGACAAUGGGGGCAACCCUGAUCCAACAAUGCCGCGUGAGUGAAGAAGGCCUUCGGGUUGUAAAGCUCUUUUGUCAGGGAAGAAACACCGGCUCUAACACAGUCUGGGAAUGACGGUACCUGAAGAAUAAGCACCGGCUAACUACGUGCCAGCCGCCGCCGUAA